rnacentral:lncRNA from 1 species
UACUCCUCAGCCUUAGAUCUAGAUUUCUUCUUCUAGAUCUCAAAGAAAGAAAUUACUGCACGAACUCUUUCGUGCAGAUGCGAUGGGAUCUAAACCAGAUCACCAUGAAGAGAAGAACAACCCUUCUUUUUCUCUUCGUCUCUCUCUUUUCUCUUCUUAGAUUUGAUCUCUAUCAGAUUUGGGUGUUGGAUGAAGGGGAGA